rnacentral:lncRNA from 10 species
GCCUGUGUUUUUAAGAAUGCUGUGAGUGAUUCUGACAUACAACCCAGCUUAGGAAUAACAGCCCCACUAGGCUGGCUGACUCACCUUCCCUCUCAUCUUUCUAGGACUCUGUUUUCCCCAUUGCGGGGGAUUUCGGCUCAUCAAGUUACACCAAUUGACUCUCAGCAUCACUGAGCUUUUUCUUUCACAUCCAGGGUGAGUUUAAGUCAGUGCUUCUCUGGGUCUCACAGGAGUGGACAUUCUAAAGCCAGCAUCUCCUCUGAGUAACUCACUCCCCGAUGAUGGGAGUUUGACUUUUCCUUGGUUAUGAGUUACAGGAUGAAAGUCAGGUGCAAACACUUAUUUCUUCAAGCCAACAAAUCCUAGCACCUCCUCGAUCUCAGAGAAGGUCAGCAGACAUGUGUGUGCCACGUUUCUUCAUCUCAAGAGCUGUGUAUCAUAGUGGGAAACUGGACUUGCAAAUGGCUAUGCAGGAAGAGAAGGCUGUGUGAGUGUCGGCCCCUGGGUAGAGGCUGUCUUUGUUGAAACCGUGGUGCCCCGACAAAAGCCGGAAAGCGAAUCUCCUUCUACUGCACCUGCAGGCUCUGGGCCCAAGCAUGUUCCGGGCGAGAGGAUAUUUAGGGAUUUCUGGGUUUAGCUUUCUCCGUUUUGCCGUUCAGUUCACUCUGGCCCUGGCUGUCUCCAAAGGAGAGGACUGAUACCAUGGGAUUAAGUCCUUAUGUUCAAGCUCCGGUCUGGGAAGCUGAGUCUCCAUCUUUUUCUGAGGCCAAGGCAUUGUUCUGACAACUGCCCUUGACUCCAGUUCCUUCAGGAUGAGGGCCGUGGCUUUUCUUGCCCACUCUUCUGCUCCUGAAUCCUUCCUCGCAGCCUCUAACCACACUGCUAGCCCUCAUCUCUGGCUUGCUGCCAAUUUCCUCUGGCACUAUCCUCCCUAGCUGGCUGCAAACCCACCUGUUGUUUUUUGGGUUUUUUAGAGAUGGGGUCUCGCUCUGUUGCAAUCAUAGCUCACUGCAGCAUCGAACUCUUGGGCUCGACAAUCCUCCCACCUCAACCUCCUAAAUAGCUGAGACUAUAGGUGCCCACCACCACAUCUGGCUUAUUUUUUUAUUUUUUUGUAAGAGAUGGAGUCUCACUAGAUUACCCAGGCUGCUCUCAAACUCCUGGCCUCAAGGGAUCCUCCCACUUCUGCCUCCCAAAGUGCUGGGAUUACAGGCAUGAGCCCCAGUGCCCGAUCGCCACUUGUUUUCUCUUGCUUACUCUCCCUGACCCUGGGCAUCUGCCCUUAGAAAUGUCGUUGUCCCCAGCUGCGCCAGCUCCUGAUCCCACGCUCUGCCUGCUUCAUUUUCUGCUGUUCCCUUCAUCUAUCCUUCUCCCAUCCCUCAAUCCCCCCUCCCCCAGCCAUUCUACCUCUGAUGUGUUAUUUGAUAAUAUGAAUCGGAAUUUGAAAGGACACAGAGGAUUUCAUGUGUAAAGGACGCACUGUUUCCUUUAUUUACUAUUACUGCCGUGCAAUCAGUUGCCCUUUUAAACAAUGAUUCCUCCUUACACAAUGCUCUUUUAAUGUUUUCAUCCCUAUAAGAUGAGUGUUCCUUGAUACAAAUAGCAGUUGCCACUUCCUUUAUGGAUGUAAUGAUUAGAGAAUGUUCCUUUAUAAAAGUUCUCAGCCCUUACUGUGCCUCAUAAUUGCCUGGGAUGCUUUAUAAAACCCUAUGGUCUGGGGCCAGCUGCGGUGGCUCAC